rnacentral:misc_RNA from 1 species
GUAGGUGAACCUGCGGAAGGAUCAUUAACAAAUGUUUCCAACACCACUCAUCAUGCUAACCUUACCGUAUGGCGUGCUGGGCCCGGCUCUCGAAAGAGGCCGGGUCUGGACGCGCCCUUUCCACGCUGCAACGCCGGUCGACGGUUAGAUUCGACUCGCGUCGUCUUCGAUCCGCUAAACAAUAUUCGACUGGAUAGGCGUGGACUGCUGACACUUACUGAACUCAACACUGACAUCAAAUAUAUUCAAUAUAUUUUAAUGACAACUUUUAGCAACGGAUCUCUAGGCUCUC